CCUUUCUAUAUCACUGUUACUGCUCCUACUGGAAGGCUAUUCCAGGUAUCUACUACCCUUUCUAUAUCACUGUUACUGCUCCCACUGGAAGACUAUCCCAGGUAUCUACUACCAUUUCUAUAUCACUGUUACUGCUCCCACUGGAAGGCUAUUCCAGGUACCUACUACCCUUUCUAUAUCACUGUUACUGCUCCCACUGGAAGGCUAUCUAUGUAUCUACUACCCUUUCUAUAUCACUGUUACUGCUCCCACUGGAAGGCCAUUCCAGGUAUCUACUACCCUUUCUAAAUCACUGUUACUGCUCCCACUGGAAGGCCAUUCCAGGUAUCUACUACCCUUUCUAUAUCACUGUUACUGCUCCCACUGGAAGGUUAUUCCAGGUAUCUACUAUCCUUUCUAAAUCACUGUGACCGUUCACACUGGAAGGCCAUUCCAGGUAUCUACUACCCUUUCUAUAUCACUGUUACUGCUCCCACUGGAAGGCCAUUCCAGGUAUCUACUACCCUUUCUAUAUCACUGUUACUGCUCCCACUGGAAAGAUAUUCCAGGUAUCUACUACCCUUUCUAUAUCACUGUUACUGCUCCCACUGGAAGGCUAUUCCAGGUAUCUACUACCCUUUCUAUAUCACUGUUAUUGCUCCCACUGGAAGGCUAUUCCAGGUAUCUACUACCCUUUCUAUAUCACUGUUAUUGCUCCCACUGGAAGGUUAUUCCAGGUAUCUACUACCCUUUCUAUAUCACUGUUACUGCUCCCACUGGAAGGCUAUUCCAGGUAUCUACUACCCUUUCUAUAUCACGGUUACUGCUCCCACUGGAAGGCUAUUCCAGGUAUCUACUACCCUUUCUAUAUCACUGUUACUGCUCCCACUGGAAGGCUAUUCCAGGUAUCUACUACC